UGGGGUAGCUGUCAGUUUGGGUACUUGGCAGCCUGAGCCCCAUCAGCUUUAGUGGGACUUGAGAUCUUAGAGAAUUUUGUCAGUUUUCAAAAUGAACCUUGGGCACUUUCGAAAAUUUUGCCCUAAGUAUAAUGCAGCAAAAGGUUUGUGGUUGGUCCCAGGUGUUAAUGAAGUACUUGUGCAAAGUCUCAUUAAUUAUCUGGCACAUCCUGCUUGGUCUGUGUGGUGUGAGCCUGUGCUGGUGAUGGUGAGGGCUUUGCUGCUGCUGAAGAUGGUUGCGAGUUUGAGUCCACCCUCUCACUGACUUUCCAUAGGCACAGCCAGAUGUGCCAGUCAGUGUGAGCCUGGGCAGCCCAGCAAACCCAGCUGUGCCCGGGGCUGCGAGCCAGAGAAAGCACAAGGCGCUUGACCAGCAAAUACCCCAGGGAGAUGCACCAGCUGAUUCAAGUGUGGGAGAGGCAACACAGAUGUGCUGUGGUUCAUUCUAGAGCUGAGCCAUCUGAUAGACAUAGUGUUCAAUAGGUUGGGAGGGCAGCAGUGACAGUCUGUGGCUUUUCCUUCUCUGAAAGAAGAGGCUUUUGACUGUUGGAAAACCUGUAAUUCAUAAAAACAUACGAUAUUUGCUAUUACUUUUGCAAGUACUGUUAUGGUUGAGAUGUUCCAGCAUUACGUGUUUAAGGAAGAAAGGUUUCGAUUUAAGGAUGAGUGUGAGAAUUUCUUGAGCAUCCCACGGCCUCACAUGCGGAAGAUUAGAUCGAGGGCAGAGGACGUGCCUCUCCCAGGUCUUCUGCAGGCACCGCAGCUGGGAGGCAGGCGCCGAGGGUUGCUUACUCUUUCCAGUCUCGGGCCUGGACAUUGGCCUGAGAACUUGGGUAUUCCUCAGCUGGCAGCACAGUGCUGGUGUAAUUAGUCCUCGAGUUAAUGGGGUUGUAGACAUACAGCGAGAAAGUCAAACUGGCAAUUUGUAGGAAAGAGAAAAGGAAAUUGUAGUCCAGUAUGAAAGACUUUAUGCAACACACUUAAUUUUCCUUUUCUUUCAAAAUCAAAUGUAAUCCCACUAGAAUGAAGUAACCAUGGAGUUUCUGAGGUUUUAAUUACUGUUUGAUGUUGCAGCAUUAGUCAAAAUGGUGGCAGCAUUAAAGAGAAGAUAAUUGUUCCCAUUAACUAGGGUGGGGGAAUAUUUUUUUUUUUUUCAUAUUUUUAGGUGAAUCAACAAAUAAGAGUGUCCAGGCCUCCUGAAGAAAAUGCAUGUUAAGUGUUUUUGAACACAUGGGGGAAUAACUGAAAUUAGGUGACAGCUGUCUAAAGCAAUCAUUGGAAGAGCUAGCAAAAAAUAUUGAUUAUUGGAGGCAAACUUUGAAUUAGAGCAAAAUAGCACCAGUACUUUUGAGAGCAACUUAGUAUGAUAAAUCUUUCUUUGAAUUUCAUCACUUCAUUUAGCAAAACAACAUUCCUCUGGAGGUAAAUCAAAGCGGGGUUUUAGCCCCUGCUGUGGUAGUUAUUGAAUCGCAGUGUUGGAGGGAGCAGUGCGAGAGUUAUCCUCCAUUUACAUCCUAAUUAUGAUUUAUUCAGAGGCCAUUAGUGGGAUUUUCCUGGCAGGCAGGUGUUCUCUUGAUGAAAAAUACAUCACGCCUCCUCAGUAGGAUGCAGGUGUCGCCCGCGUGAGCGCCCACCUGAAUUCUUGGGAUGAUACAAGCUCCUCAGGAGCCUGCGGGCAGAAGAGUGCGGGUGUAUUUCUGGAGAGUCCAUUUGCACAAUAACAAAAGGGGGCAAAAGCUCGAGCUAGUUAACAAUACUUCUUUGAUAAAACUGAAACAACAAUAAGUGUUGUACAGUUUGAAAGCUUGCCAACGUCACUUGAGGUGUGUGCAAAAAUUUCCCCAAGUGCUUGCACAUGUGAAACUAUUUCUUCUGGAAGGUGAUGAGUUCAGGUAAAACCAACUGGCCUUGGCCAUGGUCUGUCAAGCUGAAGGAUAUAGUAAACCAAGAAGAAUUCUUGACUGAAGUAGUUUAAUUCUCCUUCAUUAAAGAAAGCUUUGCUUGGUGCUAGAGGAGGAAAAAAAAAUAUUUAUUUCAGUUGAGCUUUUCGGGUGGCUAGUCUGUGCCAGUUGUUUCUUACUUCAGAGCCGUGCUUGCAGUAUGUCGAGGUGUGGAAAUGGGACAACAGAUGAGACUUGUUCUGCUGUGGAUGGCAUAUGGGAUCUGUAUGCACCAAGGAGCACCACUGAAAUCUGCAGCUGUGGAAAGUGGCGUAUCCCAGCAGUGAAUUAGAUAGGGCAACCCAAAUAUUUCUGUUUUCUGUCUGUGUGGAAGCGUAAGAGCAGGUAUAAAGGACUUUGCCACAGCUGUGGACCUUAUGGUAUCCUAAAAGAUCAAAGACAGCAUUCAUAACUGCUAUGUGGUGGUGAUGAUAUUUUUUUUAUAUUUCAACCAUGUCAGCGUACAUUUGGUCAUUACUUUUCUAAAGUUAAGUCUUCUUUUCUUGAGUAAUCGAUAUAAGAUGUUUGCAUGAUGGAAAGUAAUUUAAGUUCACUUUUUAAAAAGAUGUGAUUCAUACUGUAGGUUAUGUUUGUUUAACAGAUUAACAUUUUCACUGACGGGUGGCAGUUUUUUUUCUUUUUAGUGCUUUUGAUAGAAGAACAUCUAGGAUAUUUUCCAACAGAAACACAUUGUGUAAUCUUUACCUCCAGUUGUGGAAGUAGUACCUUUCAAAAAUAAUUGUUUUCCAAUACUGUUUGGCCAUCUGGGUAACAAUAUGCAACUAUGUAUAUCAUGUACAAGAUAUGAUUUUUUAAAAAAAAAAAAAAAAAUCCCAUUUUGGUGGAAGUAAUCAAGAAAUUAAUCCAGCAAGGUCAAAACCCUUUCUCAGUGAAAAUUUUGGAUGUGUCAAUAUAAUUGAAGCACUUGACCCCCCACCAGAUUUUGGGGCCAAAUCAUACGAAUUUUGUAUUUUCAAAUUCACAAAAGGCCAACCAAAGGUUUUUUACUUCAGAAGGCACUGAGGAAUUUGGUCACCUUACAUCCUGUCCUAUGAGGUUUGACUCCUGGCCUGGGACCUCGCGGCACUGUGCCUCAGACACAAUUAUUUUAUGAUGCUCAUUCAAACUCGGCUCUAGUAGCAAGUUUCUGCAAAUCACCCAUGUACUUCAAAAUUAAUCCCUCCUUGAUUUUUUUCACUUCAAAAGGUGAGAGAAAGGAGGGGGGUAUGUAAUUUUAUACGGCUCUAUUUGAAAAGGGUUUUGUGUACCUUUAUAAUUCUUUUGAAGCAAUAUUUUAAAAAAAAUAACUGCCAGCCAAAGUGGCAAUGCAGAAAAGUGCCAUCUUGUUUAGGAUUUGUACACACCAGUUUUUAACACAGUGUUCUUUUCACUAAGUACUACAUACGUUAAUUUAUAUUUAUAUAUUGUCAAUAUUGUUGUAACCAAGCUUCUCCUUUCUAAACACUUCAGGAACAAGGCCUUGUAUUUUUAGGUGAUUUUCAUAAACAGAAUAAUUCUUUUCCUUUCACUAGUAUCUUGCACUUGAUACAUGUAGCAAUACUUAAUAUAUUCUCUUCACAAGUAUUUGUUAAGUGAUUUAGUUAAUGGCUGAUGUUUUGUACAAAAUAGAUUCUGUACAGGAAAAAAAUCUUUUAGAUAAACAUUAUUUAUUUUUACUGUUUUGUAAGUUAGACACUAUAAUGAAGCUCCUUUUUGCCAGAAUUACUGGAAGUGCCUCUUGGUAAAAUGUAUUAUACAGUAAAUAUGUAUUCAAAAUUAUUAGGAAUACUUGUCACAAACUGAACAAUGUGGAUGUUGCAAUGUGAAGACAAAUGUACAACAUAAAUAUAAUUCUGUGGUAUCC